rnacentral:lncRNA from 1 species
AGGCUCCAAACCCUGGCAGCCCGAUUUCAGAGGCUCUGCUCUUGCUUUCAUGAGUAUUGUUCUUUCAGGAAUGAUCUGAGGUGAACGCAGAUGAGAGAGAACAGUGAUGAAUACGGCCCUAAAACGAGAGUCAGAUUCAGCGUUAGAUGCAGUGAGAGGUUCAAGAAUACUUUAAGAGAUGAUGGAUUCCUCCCUUGGGAAGGUGCAAUCUUGCAGAGGCAAGAGGGCUGCUUUGAAAUGAGAGAGUGACUCCGAUCCACCUGCCAAGUGGCUUGAAUAGGAAAUGAACUUUUGAGGAUGCAGAAGAAGAAUCUCUCUACUGUGGAAUUGCAUUCUCUGGCUUCUGAGGGGAGCUUCUAAAUCAUUCCCUGUGUUCCUAACUGCUGCCAAUUCCUAGAAAUUCCCCGGGUUUCAAGAAUCAAGUCCAAGAAAUCACAGCUUUUAUCUGGAGAGGAGGAAGAAAGGUAUCUGUGCUGAGCACACUUUAAACAUAGACGGAGUAGCACUUAUGCAUGAAACACCAAGUCCGGGCCUCAUGCUUUGCCCCUACUGACUCACUU